rnacentral:rRNA from 1 species
AGAGUUUGAUCAUGGCUCAGGAUGAACGCUAGCUACAGGCUUAACACAUGCAAGUCGAGGGGAAACGACAUCGAAAGCUUGCUUUUGAUGGGCGUCGACCGGCGCACGGGUGAGUAACGCGUAUCCAACCUGCCCACCACUUGGGGAUAACCUUGCGAAAGUAAGACUAAUACCCAAUGACGUCUCUAGAAGACAUCUGAAGGAGAUUAAAGAUUUAUCGGUGAUGGAUGGGGAUGCGUCUGAUUAGCUUGUUGGCGGGGUAACGGCCACAAGGCGACGAUCAGUAGGGGUUCUGAGAGGAGGUCCCCCANAUUGGAACUGAGACACGGUCCAACUCCGUACGGGAGCA